rnacentral:rRNA from 1 species
AACGAACGCUGGCGGCAGGCCUAACACAUGCAAGUCGAACGUGAAGCCACCUUCGGGUGGUGGAAAGUGGCAGACGGGUGAGUAACGCGUGGGAAUCUACCCAAUGGUACGGAAUAACUCAGGGAAACUUGAGCUAAUACCGUAUGUGCCCGAAAGGGGAAAGAUUUAUCGCCAUUGGAUGAGCCCGCGUCUGAUUAGCUAGUUGGUGGGGUAACGGCCCACCAAGGCGAAGAUCAGUAGCUGGUCUGAGAGGAUGAUCAGCCACACUGGGACUGAGACACGGCCCAGACUCCUACGGGAGGCAGCAGUGGGGAAUAUUGGACAAUGGGCGCAAGCCUGAUCCAGCCAUGCCGCGUGAGUGAUGAAGGCCCUAGGGUUGUAAAGCUCUUUCGGCGGGGACGAUAAUGACGGUACCCGCAGAAGAAGCCCCGGCUAACUUCGUG